rnacentral:rRNA from 1 species
AAUGAACGCUGGCGGCAUGCCUAACACAUGCAAGUCGAACGAGACCUUCGGGUCUAGUGGCGCACGGGUGCGUAACGCGUGGGAACCUGCCCUUAGGUUCGGAAUAACUCCCCGAAAGGGGUGCUAAUACCGGAUAAUGUCUUCGGACGAAAGAUUUAUCGCCUUUGGUUGGGCCCGCGUUGGAUUAGGUAGUUGGUAGGGGAAAAGCCUACCAAGGCGACGAUCCGUAGCUGGUCUGAGAGGGGGGUUGGCCACACUGGGACUGAGACACGGCCCAGACUCCUACGGGAGGCAGCAGUGGGGAAUAUUGGACAAUGGGGGAAAGCCUGAUCCAGCAAUGCCGCGUGAGUGAUGAAGGACUUAGGGUUGUAAAGCUCUUUUACCCGGGAUGAUAAUGACGGUACCGGGAGAAUAAGCCCCGGCUAACUCCGUG